UGAGUGCGCGCGCACGCUACCAUAUCGGCUGCUGCAAUUCGCGGGAACGGAAGUCGAGGGAGAGGGGCUGCCGGCGGCGCCUCAGUCCACCUUAGGGUUUGCAAUCCGCCGGCGGCGGGCUAAUCGUGGACGUGAAGUUGAAAUACUGGUUUAGUGGCGCUUCAUUUCGAGUAAUGCCUUUUUCCUGUCGCAAUGGGUCUGCAAAGCUAUGGAGGUUGCUGGUAUCGACAUCUCCUGUUGUACUCCUCUGUCUUCAUCCGUGGAUUAACAUCAAACCUGGUCAGGUAUGCUUUAUUUGGUUAUCACUUCAAGGAGUUAUCACUAAUAGAAUCUAGUUUUUUGCACGUGAUCACCAAAAUGCAGCAUGAUUCUGUUGGCCGUCUAUGCUGCUUCAUUAGCUAUUACUGCAUAUUAAGGCCUAUGCCUUCUAAUUUUGUUUCAUACACGAACUAUUGUGAAAUUCUUCCAUACAUUAGCAGCUAUAACUAUUAAUUCACAUUUAUUUAAUUUCAUUUGUCUAAUCUUUCAUAUACUCUUAUCUAAUUCAAACAAGUAGGAGUUCCUGUAGAUCGCUUUCUAUCAGUAAUGCUUGUUCUGUAAUUUUUUUCUUAUUGGGUUUGGUCUUUCACUACAGAAGACUUGAUCUCGCCUGUUAUGUCUUAGAAAUAGAUGUAUAACUAAUUUUUAUCUUUUUAAUUGUUUUGGCCUAUACUAUAAUAUAGAGGUCAACUUUAUUGAGUUAUAGUGGUUAAAGAAAUAUAGAGGUCCCUCGAAUCCUGUGUAGGCGGGCAUUUUCUGGUGGCUUCUUCUUGUCUUCAUGAAUGGAAGGGACAAAGUGAAGGUCGAGAGUGAAGUUUCAAAGGUUAUUCAGUAGUGCCAGACUUUUCUUUUGCAGAAAUAGGGGAGAAAGAUGAGAAGAAAGCGGAAAACAAGACUGUUUGUUGAGAAAGCUCAAAGAUUGAACUCGACAAUUUUUGGUCCACAAUGAAAGAAGCUAGAAACACACGAAUGUUUGAGAGGCGAACUGAGCAGAAACCAUUGUCGUUACUUGCAGAGAUUUUCAUGACGAUUGGACAAGGAUUUUAGAGAUCUUACAAAGACAAACCUAAAACUCUUUCUUCAUCAAUUUGUUCCAGCCGGAUUUAGCCUUUUGAGGUGUCUUCUUGCUGAUUGUGUUUGUCUCCUUGCGACCAAUAAAGGACGGGUCACUUUUGGGCCUCUAACUUGAAAGAUGGAAGUUUGAAACUCUUAGACUCCUGGUAGAAGAAGCGUUGUACCUUCGUAUGGGGAUUGGGUGAAGGUGAGCCUCUUCAUUUAUGGAGUCUGGCAACUUUUAAGGCGAUUGGCAAUACUCUGGGGGGUUUGUGGACUAUCAAAUAUUAAUUCUUGCCUCAUUGAUUGCUUAGAUGUGGCUCUAAGAGAGAAACGAAAAUUAUUGUGGUUUUAUCCUUGCAGAACUCCAGUUAGUCCAUGGCAACCAUUUUCUUCAU